GUCAAACCCAACUGAAUCCAAUUCAAUUGGACUUGAUCCAAAAAUAAUUACUUAAUUAAAUUGAGUUAAUUAGUGAUCAAAUCACUAAUUAAACCUCUCAUAAAUACUGAGUCCAAAUUCGAUGGGCAAUCGGGCAUCAAAAUUCAUCAAUAUGUAACCCUAAUCAGUAGGACUCUUGACCCCGAUAUCCAUAAUGUGUGGAACUCAUGAUCAGAGAAUCUUGAUUCUCGAUCACUGAGUCCCAAAUAUGUAGGCUUCUACAUCAGCCAUC
rnacentral:lncRNA from 1 species